rnacentral:rRNA from 1 species
GACGAACGCUGGCGGCGUGCUUAACACAUGCAAGUCGAACGUGAUUUUUGUGGAAAGCCCUUCGGGGACGGAAAUGAAAUGAAAGUGCGAACGGGUGAGUAACACGUGACAACCUACCUUACACAGGGGGAUAGCCGUUGGAAACGACGAUUAAUACCGCAUGAGACCACAAAGCCACAUGGCUUAGGGGUAAAAGAUUUAUCGGUGUAAGAUGGGCUCGCGUCUGAUUAGCUAGUUGAAGGGUAAAGGCCUACCAAGGCGACGAUCAGUAGCCGGUCUGAGAGGAUGAACGGCCACAUUGGAACUGAGACACGGUCCAAACUCCUACGGGAGGCAGCAGUGGGGAAUAUUGCACAAUGGGGGGAACCCUGAUGCGGCGACGCCGCGUGAGCGAAGAAGGUUUUCGAAUCGUAAAGCUCUGUCCUAUGAGAAGAUAAUGACGGUAUCAUAG